UACGAAGGGGGCUAGCGUUGUUCGGAAUCACUGGGCGUAAAGCGCACGCAGGCGGAUCGUUAAGUCAGGGGUGAAAUGCCGAGGCUCAACCUCGGAACUGCCUUUGAUACUGGCGAUCUUAGAGUCCGGGAGAGGUGAGUGGAACUCCGAGUGUAGAGGUGAAAUUCGUAAAUAUUCGGAAGAACACCAGUGGCGAAGGCGGCUCACUGGCCCGGUACUGACGCUCAGGUGCGAAAGCGUGGGGAGCAAACAGG
rnacentral:rRNA from 1 species